rnacentral:rRNA from 1 species
CGGGACGGGUGAUAAUGUCUGGGAAACUGCCUGAUGGAGGGGGAUAACUACUGGAAACGGUAGCUAAUACCGCAUAACGUCGCAAGACCAAAGAGGGGGACCUUCGGGCCUCUUGCCAUCGGAUGUGCCCAGAUGGGAUUAGCUAGUAGGUGGGGUAACGGCUCACCUAGGCGACGAUCCCUAGCUGGUCUGAGAGGAUGACCAGCCACACUGGAACUGAGACACGGUCCAG